rnacentral:rRNA from 1 species
AUUGAACGCUGGCGGCAUGCUUUACACAUGCAAGUCGAGCGGCAGCGCGGGGGCAACCCUGGCGGCGAGCGGCGAACGGGUGAGUAAUGCAUCGGAACGUAUCCUCGAGUGGGGGAUAACCCAGCGAAAGUUGGGCUAAUACUGCAUGAGCUCUGAGGAGGAAAGCGGGGGACCUGCGAGGGCCUCGCGCUGGAGGAGCGGCCGAUGUCCGAUUAGCUAGUUGGUGGGGUAAAGGCCUACCAAGGCGACGAUCGGUAGCUGGUCUGAGAGGAUGAUCAGCCACACUGGGACUGAGACACGGCCCAUACUCCUACGGGAGGCAGCAGUGGGGAAUUUUGGACAAUGGGGGCAACCCUGAUCCAGCCAUGCCGCGUGAGUGAAGAAGGCCUUCGGGUUGUAAAGCUCUUUCGGACGGAACGAAAUGGGCGGGACUAAUACUCCUGGCUGAUGACGGUACCGGAAGAAGAAGCACCGGCUAACUACGUG